rnacentral:rRNA from 1 species
ACGGGAGGCAGCAGUGGGGAAUAUUGCACAAUGGGCGCAAGCCUGAUGCAGCGACGCCGCGUGAGCGAAGAAGUAUUUCGGUAUGUAAAGCUCUAUCAGCAGGGAAGAUAAUGACGGUACCUGACUAAGAAGCACCGGCUAAAUACGUGCCAGCAGCCGCGGUAAUACGUAUGGUGCAAGCGUUAUCCGGAUUUACUGGGUGUAAAGGGAGCGUAGGCGGUUUUACAAGUCUGAUGUGAAAGCCCGGGGCUCAACUCCGGUAUUGCAUUGGAAACUGUAGAACUAGAGUGUCGGAGGGGUAAGUGGAAUUCCUAGUGUAGCGGUGAAAUGCGUAGAUAUUAGGAGGAACACCAGUGGCGAAGGCGGCUUACUGGACGAUUACUGACGCUGAGGCUCGAAAGCGUGGGGAGCGAACAGGAUUAGAUACCCUGGUA